rnacentral:rRNA from 1 species
AUACGGAGGGUGCAAGCGUUACUCGGAAUCACUGGGCGUAAAGCGCGCGCAGGCGGUCUUUUAAGUUGGAUGUGAAAGCCUACGGCACAACCGUAGAACUGCAUCCAAAACUAUUAGACUAGAGUGUGGGAGAGGAAGAUGGAAUUAGUUGUGUAGGGGUAAAAUCCGUAGAGAUAACUAGGAAUACCAAAAGCGAAGGCAAUCUUCUGGAACACUACUGACGCUGAGGCGCGAAAGCGUGGGGAGCAAACAGGAUUAGAAACCCUAGUAGUCC